rnacentral:rRNA from 1 species
GGUUGAUCCUGCCAGUAGUCAUAUGCUUGUCUCAAAGAUUAAGCCAUGCAUGUCUAAGUAUAAACAAUUAUACAGUGAAACUGCGAAUGGCUCAUUAUAUCAGUUAUUGUUUAUUUGAUGAUACCCUUACUACUUGGAUAACCGUGGUAAUUCUAGAGCUAAUACAUGCGUAAAACCCCGACUUCUGGAAGGGGUGUAUUUAUUAGGUAAAAGCCAACCCGGGCAACCGGUCCUUUGGUGAUUCAUAAUAACUUUUCGGAUCGCAUGACUUCACGUCGGCGAUGGUUCAUUC